UACGAAGGGGGCUAGCGUUGCUCGGAAUCACUGGGCGUAAAGCGCACGUAGGCGGCUUCUCAAGUCAGGGGUGAAAUCCUGGAGCUCAACUCCAGAACUGCCUUCGAUACUGGCGACCUUGAGUCCGGGAGAGGUGAGUGGAACUCCGAGUGUAGAGGUGAAAUUCGUAGAUAUUCGGAAGAACACCAGUGGCGAAGGCGGCUCACUGGCCCGGUACUGACGCUGAGGUGCGAAAGCGUGGGGAGCAAACAGG
rnacentral:rRNA from 1 species